ensembl:snRNA U6 U6 spliceosomal RNA
UGAAAUAGUUCCACAUCUAUAGAAUAAAACUGGUACUUUUCAGAGACCAGCAUGACCCCUGGGCAAGGAUGACGUGCAAAUUCAUGAAGCUUGCAUGUUUUUC